rnacentral:rRNA from 1 species
GAUGAACGCUGGCGGCGUGCCUAAUACAUGCAAGUCGAGCGAACAGACGAGGAGCUUACUCCUCUGACGUUAGCGGCGGACGGGUGAGUAACACGUGGAUAACCUACCUAUAAGACUGGGAUAACUUCGGGAAACCGGAGCUAAUACCGGAUAACAUGUUGAACCGCAUGGUUCAACAGUGAAAGACGGUCUUGCUGUCACUUAUAGAUGAAUCCGCGUCGCAUUAGCUAGUUGGUAAGGUAACGGCUUACCAAGGCAACGAUGCGUAGCCGACCUGAGAGGGUGAUCGGCCACACUGGAACUGAGACACGGUCCAGACUCCUACGGGAGGCAGCAGUAGGGAAUCUUCCGCAAUGGGCGAAAGCCUGACGGAGCAACGCCGCGUGAGUGAAGAAGGUCUUCGGAUCGUAAAACUCUGUUAUUAGGGAAGAACAAAUGUGUAAGUAACUAUGCACGUCUUGACGGUACCUAAUCAGAAAGCCACGGCUAACUACGUG